rnacentral:rRNA from 1 species
AGUGAACGCUGGCGGUAGGCCUAACACUUGCAAGUCGAACGGCAGCACAGUAAGAGCUUGCUCUUACGGGUGGCGAGUGGCGGACGGGUGAGGAAUACAUCGGAAUCUACUUUUUCGUGGGGGAUAACGUAGGGAAACUUACGCUAAUACCGCAUACGGCCUACGGGUGAAAGCAGGGGAUCUUCGGACCUUGCGCGAUUGAAUGAGCCGAUGUCGGAUUAGCUAGUUGGCGGGGUAAAGGCCCACCAAGGCGACGAUCCGUAGCUGGUCUGAGAGGAUGAUCAGCCACACUGGAACUGAGACACGGUCCAGACUCCUACGGGAGGCAGCAGUGGGGAAUAUUGGACAAAGGGCGCAAGCCUGAUCCAGCCAUACCGCGUGGGUGAAGAAGGCCUUCGGGUUGUAAAGCCCUUUUGUUGGGAAAGAAAAGCAGCAGGUUAAUACCCCGCUGUUCUGACGGUACCCAAAGAAUAAGCACCGGCUAACUUCGUG